rnacentral:misc_RNA from 1 species
GAUGAAGAACGCAGCUAAAUGCGAUAAGUAAUGUGAAUUGCAGAAUUCCGUGAAUCAUCGAAUCUUUGAACGCACAUUGCGCCCCCUGGCAUUCCGGGGGGCAUGCCUGUCCGAGCGUCAUUUCUGCCCUCAAGCACGGCUUGUGUGUUGGGUGUGGUCCCCCCGGGGACCUGCCCGAAAGGCAGCGGCGACGUCCGUCUGGUCCUCGAGCGUAUGGGGCUCUGUCACUCGCUCGGGAAGGACCUGCGGGGGUUGGUCACCACUAUAUUUUACCACGGUUGACCUCGGAUCAGGUAGGAGUUACCCGCUGAACUUAAGCAUAUCAAUAAGCGGAGGA